UCCGUUUGGAGUCACUGUUAGGACCAACUGUAACCUUCAACACUCGCGGAUAAUGCGCUUUUCUAGUGGGGAUGAGGAAGGCAGAGGUAGGCCAAGGAAGUAUUCAGGAGUGGUGAUUAGAUUAGAUAUUACGCAUCUUCAGCUUACGGAGGAUAUGGGCUUAGAUAGGAGGGUGUGGAGGUUGCAGGUAAGGGUAGAAGUUUAGUAGGUAGCCGAGUGUCGUCUUAGUAUUAUCCUAUUCAUGUAGUCUUUAGCUUUUUGUAUCUGUUAGAAUUUGUUGUUUACUAUGUUUAGGUGAUCGCACCUUAUUGUUG
rnacentral:misc_RNA from 1 species